rnacentral:tRNA from 15 species
UCCUCGAUGGUCUAGUGGUCAUGAUUUCCGCUUGUCACGCGGGAGACCAGGGUUCGAUUCCCUGUCGGGGAG